GAUGAACGCUGGCGGCGUGCUUAACACAUGCAAGUCGAACGGUGAAGCAGGAGCUUGCUCUUGUGGAUCAGUGGCGAACGGGUGAGUAACACGUGAGCAACCUGCCCCUGACUCUGGGAUAAGCGCUGGAAACGGCGUCUAAUACUGGAUAUGUGAUGUGACCGCAUGGUCUGCAUCUGGAAAGAAUUUCGGUUGGGGAUGGGCUCGCGGCCUAUCAGCUUGUUGGUGAGGUAAUGGCUCACCAAGGCGUCGACGGGUAGCCGGCCUGGGAGGGUGACCGGCAACACUGGGACUGAGACACGGCCCAGACUCCUACGGGAGGCAGCAGUGGGGAAUAUUGCACAAUGGGCGGAAGCCUGAUGCAGCAACGCCGCGUGAGGGAUGACGGCCUUCGGGUUGUAAACCUCUUUUAGCAGGGAAGAAGCGAAAGUGACGGUACCUGCAGAAAAAGCACCGGCUAACUACGUGCCAGCCGCCGCGGUAA
rnacentral:rRNA from 1 species